rnacentral:tRNA from 1 species
CCGGUAGCUCAGGUGGUUAGAGCGCACGCCUGAUAAGCGUGAGGUCGGAGGUUCAAGUCCUCCUCGACC